rnacentral:RNase_P_RNA from 2 species
CGAGUUCGCCGGGCGGUCGCGGCUCGGUUUCGGCCGGGUCGAGGAAAGUCCGGACUCCACAGAGCACGGUGCUGGGUAACUCCCAGGCGGGGCGACCCGACGGACAGUGCAACAGAGAGCAGACCGCCGAUGGCCUCCGGGCACAGGCAAGGGUGAAACGGUGGUGUAAGAGACCACCAGCGCCGCAGGUGACUGCGGCGGAUCGGCAAACCCCACCGGGAGCAAGGCCGAGCAGGGGCAGGGUUGCUCGCCCGCUACGCCCCGGGUUGGCCGCACGAGCCCGUCCGGUAACGGCGGGCCCAGAGAGAUGACCGCCGCCGGCCCUCGGGCCGGCACAGAAUCCGGCUUACAGGCGGACUCACCAC